rnacentral:rRNA from 1 species
AACGAACGCUGGCGGCAUGCCUAACACAUGCAAGUCGAACGAGACCUUCGGGUCUAGUGGCGCACGGGUGCGUAACGCGUGGGAAUCUACCCUUGGGUUCGGAAUAACUCAGAGAAAUUUGAGCUAAUACCGGAUGAUGUCGCAAGACCAAAGAUUUAUCGCCCAAGGAUGAGCCCGCGUAGGAUUAGCUUGUUGGUGAGGUAAAAGCUCACCAAGGCGACGAUCCUUAGCUGGUCUGAGAGGAUGAUCAGCCACACUGGGACUGAGACACGGCCCAGACUCCUACGGGAGGCAACAGUGGGGAAUAUUGGACAAUGGGCGAAAGCCUGAUCCAGCAAUGCCGCGUGAGUGAUGAAGGUCUUCGGAUCGUAAAGCACUGUCGGCAGGAACGAAGGUUUGCUGGGUUAAUACACCAGUAGAUUGACGGUACCUGCAAAGGAAGCACCGGCUAACUCUGUGCCAGCAGCCGCGGUAAU